rnacentral:rRNA from 1 species
GACGUAGGGCGCGAGCGUUGUCCGGAAUUAUUGGGCGUAAAGAGCUCGUAGGUGGCGUGUCGCGUCUGCCGUGAAAGCCCAUGGCUUAACUGUGGGUCUGCGGUGGAUACGGGCAGGCUGGAGGCUGGUAGGGGCAAGCGGAAUUCCUGGUGUAGCGGUGAAAUGCGCAGAUAUCAGGAGGAACACCGGUGGCGAAGGCGGCUUGCUGGGCCAGUUCUGACGCUGAGGAGCGAAAGCGUGGGGAGCGAACAGG